UACGUAGGGUGCGAGCGUUAAUCGGAAUUACUGGGCGUAAAGCGUGCGUAGGCGGUUCUCCAAGUCCGUUGUGAAAGCCCCGGGCUCAACCUGGGAAUGGCAGUGGAAACUAGGGGACUGGAAUCUGGCAGAGGGGGGUGGAAUGCCGCGUGUAGCAGUGAAAUGCGUAGAGAUCCGGAAGAACACCGGUGGCGAAGGCGGCCUGCUGGGGUCUUGGCUGACGCUGAAGCGCGACAGCGUGGGGAGCAAACAGG
rnacentral:rRNA from 1 species